UACGUAGGGGGCAAGCGUUGUCCGGAUUUAUUGGGCGGAAAGAGCGUGUAGGCGGCCAUGUAGGUCCGUUGUGAAAACUCGAGGCUCAACCUCGAGACGCCGAUGGAAACCAUGUGGCUAGAGUCCGGAAGAGGAGAGUGGAAUUCCCGGUGUAGCGGUGAAAUGCGCAGAUAUCGGGAAGAACACCCGUGGCGAAGGCGGCUCUCUGGGACGGUACCGACGCUGAGACGCGAAAGCGUGGGGAGCAAACAGG
rnacentral:rRNA from 1 species